UACGUAGGGGCCGAGCGUUGUCCGGAGUUACUGGGCGUAAAGCGCGCAGCGAGCGGCUCGUCAAGCCUGACGUGAAAGCCCCCGGCUCAACCGGGGAGGGUCGUCGGGGACUGGCGGGCUUGAGGUCGGCAGGGGUUGGUGGAAUUCCCGGUGUAGUGGUGAAAUGCGUAGAGAUCGGGAAGAACACCGGUGGCGAAGGCGGCUCUCUGGGCCUGUCCUGACGCUCAGGCGCGAAAGCUAGGGGAGCGAACAGG
rnacentral:rRNA from 1 species